GAUGAACGCUGGCGGCGUGCCUAAUACAUGCAAGUCGAGCGAACAGACGAGGAGCUUGCUCCUCUGACGUUAGCGGCGGACGGGUGAGUAACACGUGGAUAACCUACCUAUAAGACUGGGAUAACUUCGGGAAACCGGAGCUAAUACCGGAGAAUAUAUUGAACCGCAGGGUUCAAUAGUGAAAGACGGUUGUGCUGUCACUUAUAGAUGGAUCCGCGCCGCAUUAGCUAGUUGGUAAGGUAACGGCUUACCAAGGGAACGAUGCGUAGCCGACCUGAGAGGGUGAUCGGCCACACUGGAACUGGGCCACGGUCCAGACUCCUGCGGGAGGCACCAGUAGGCAAUCUUCCGCAAUGGGCGGAAGCCUGACGGAGCAACGCCGCGUGAGUGAUGAAGGUCUUCGGAUCGUAAAACUCUGUUAUUAGGGAAGAACAAAUGUGUAAGUAACUAUGCACGUCUUGACGGUACCUAAUCAGAAAGCCACGGCUAACUACGUG
rnacentral:rRNA from 1 species